CGUACACUCCUACGGGAGGCAGCAGUGGGGAAUAUUGCACAAUGGGCGCAAGCCUGAUGCAGCGACGCCGCGUGGGGGAUGAAGGCCUUCGGGUUGUAAACUCCUUUCGCUAGGGACGAAGCUUUUUUGUGACGGUACCUAGAUAAGAAGCACCGGCUAACUACGUGCCAGCAGCCGCGGUAAUACGUAGGGUGCGAGCGUUGUCCGGAAUUACUGGGCGUAAAGGGCUCGUAGGUGGUUUGUCGCGUCGUCUGUGAAAUUCUGGGGCUUAACUCUGGGCGUGCAGGCGAUACGGGCAUAACUUGAGUGCUGUAGGGGUAACUGGAAUUCCUGGUGUAGCGGUGAAAUGCGCAGAUAUCAGGAGGAACACCGAUGGCGAAGGCAGGUUACUGGGCAGUUACUGACGCUGAGGAGCGAAAGCAUGGGUAGCGAACAGGAUUAGAUACCCGGGUAGUCCCA
rnacentral:rRNA from 1 species